rnacentral:lncRNA from 1 species
UUUCUCUCUUUUUUCUCUCUCUAACCUUACUUUCUCUCAACUCCCAAAUGAUUUUCCCUUCUUCCUACACCCCUAUUUAUAGGGAAGGGAUAUCACUUAUUUUCCCUUAAGCUCUAGUUAUCUAAAUAUCAUCAUUUUCAAUUUACUUGCCUUAAAACUUAGUCUUUAGCCUGAUUAUAUUUCUUUGCAUACAUAUACAUACUUAAAUAGCCAUACAAAAUACGAGGAAUUCGUCUAGAGAUAAUAUGGGUCAUUAAACUUCUAAUGUGAUUUCUAGACUUUAAAAGGUUUUAAAAUAAGGAAAUUACAUAAUU